rnacentral:rRNA from 1 species
CCUACGGGAGGCAGCAGUGAGGAAUAUUGGUCAAUGGACGAGAGUCUGAACCAGCCAAGUAGCGUGAAGGAUGACGGCCCUAUGGGUUGUAAACUGCUUUUAUAAAGGAAUAAAACGAGGCACGUGUGCCUUGUUGCAUGUACUUUAUGAAUAAGGAUCGGCUAACUCCGUGCCAGCAGCCGCGGUAAUACGGAGGAUCCGAGCGUUAUCCGGAUUUAUUGGGUUUAAAGGGAGCGUAGAUGGGUUGUUAAGUCAGUUGUGAAAGUUUGCGGCUCAACCGUAAAAUUGCAAUUGAUACUGGCAGUCUUGAGUACAGUUGAGGUAGGCGGAAUUCGUGGUGUAGCGGUGAAAUGCUUAGAUAUCACGAAGAACCCCGAUUGCGAAGGCAGCUUACUAAACUGUGACUGACAUUGAUGCUCGAAAGUGUGGGUAUCAAACAGGAUUAGAUACCCUGGUAGUC